rnacentral:rRNA from 1 species
UCCUGGCUCAGGAUGAACGCUGGCGGCGUGCUUAACACAUGCAAGUCGAACGGUGAAGCCAAGCUUGCUUGGUGGAUCAGUGGCGAACGGGUGAGUAACACGUGAGCAACCUGCCCUGAACUCUGGGAUAAGCGCUGGAAACGGCGUCUAAUACUGGAUAUGAGCUGCGGAGGCAUCUUCGUGGUUGGAAAGAUUUUUCGGUUUGGGAUGGGCUCGCGGCCUAUCAGCUUGUUGGUGAGGUAAUGGCUCACCAAGGCGUCGACGGGUAGCCGGCCUGAGAGGGUGACCGGCCACACUGGGACUGAGACACGGCCCAGACUCCUACGGGAGGCAGCAGUGGGGAAUAUUGCACAAUGGGCGGAAGCCUGAUGCAGCAACGCCGCGUGAGGGAUGACGGCCUUCGGGUUGUAAACCUCUUUUAGCAGGGAAGAAGCGAAAGUGACGGUACCUGCAGAAAAAGCGCCGGCUAACUACGUGCCAGCAGCCGCGGUAAUACGUAGGGCGCAAGCGUUAUCCGGAAUUAUUGGGCGUAAAGAGCUCGUAGGCGGUUUGUCGCGUCUGCUGUGAAAUCUGGGGGCUCAACCCCCAGCCUGCAGUGGGUACGGGCAGACUAGAGUGCGGUAGGGGAGAUUGGAAUUCCUGGUGUAGCGGUGGAAUGCGCAGAUAUCAGGAGGAACACCGAUGGCGAAGGCAGAUCUCUGGGCCGUAACUGACGCUGAGGAGCGAAAGGGUGGGGAGCAAACAGGCUUAGAUACCCUGGUAGUCCACCCCGUAAACGUUGGGAACUAGUUGUGGGGUCCAUUCCACGGAUUCCGUGACGCAGCUAACGCAUUAAGUUCCCCGCCUGGGGAGUACGGCCGCAAGGCUAAAACUCAAAGGAAUUGACGGGGACCCGCACAAGCGGCGGAGCAUGCGGAUUAAUUCGAUGCAACGCGAAGAACCUUACCAAGGCUUGACAUACACGAGAACGCUGCAGAAAUGUAGAACUCUUUGGACACUCGUGAACAGGUGGUGCAUGGUUGUCGUCAGCUCGUGUCGUGAGAUGUUGGGUUAAGUCCCGCAACGAGCGCAACCCUCGUUCUAUGUUGCCAGCACGUAAUGGUGGGAACUCAUGGGAUACUGCCGGGGUCAACUCGGAGGAAGGUGGGGAUGACGUCAAAUCAUCAUGCCCCUUAUGUCUUGGGCUUCACGCAUGCUACAAUGGCCGGUACAAAGGGCUGCAAUACCGCGAGGUGGAGCGAAUCCCAAAAAGCCGGUCCCAGUUCGGAUUGAGGUCUGCAACUCGACCUCAUGAAGUCGGAGUCGCUAGUAAUCGCAGAUCAGCAACGCUGCGGUGAAUACGUUCCCGGGUCUUGUACACACCGCCCGUCAAGUCAUGAAAGUCGGUAACACCUGAAGCCGGUGGCCCAACCCUUGUGGAGGGAGCCGUCGAAGGUGGGAUCGGUAAUUAGGACUAAGUC